AUGGGCAAGGCGAAGGGGAAGCAGCGGCGCUGCGGCAGGACGAGUACUACCACCUCGCCAAGGAGCAGGGCUACCGGAGCCGCGCGGCCUUCAAGCUGCAGCUCGACGACCGCUUCCGGUUCCUCCCGCCGGCGCGCGCCGUGCUCGACCUCUGCACGGUGCCGGGGGGGCUGGAUGCAGGUGGCCGUCGCCCGCGCCCCCGCCCACGCCUUCAUCGGCGGCGUCGACCUUGUGCCCAUCCGCCCCGUCGGCGACGCGCACUCGCUCAUGGAGGACAUCACCACCACCAGAUGCCGCUCCGCCGUGCGGAGGCUCAUGGACUCCAAGGGGGUCGCCGCCUUCGACGUCGUCCUCCACGACGGCUCGCCCAACGUCGGCGGCGCGUGGGCGCAGGAGGCCACCGCGCAGUCCGCGCUCGUCAUCGACGCCGUCCGCCUGGCCACCGCGUUCCUCGCCCCCAAGGGCACCUUCAUCACCAAGGUCUUCAGGUCUCAGGAUUACAGCGCCACCAUGUUCUGCCUCAAGCAGCUAUUUGGUAGAGUCAUUUUACAGUCCAUCCGGACGAUAUGGACCGUCCGUCGGAGCGAAGUCGACGAUCCAGAUCCGAUGCAAUACGUUGAUGUCACGUGUAUUAUAUCAGACCUCGAGGGGCAUUUUCGAGAGAAAAAAUAUUUUGAACUGAUCUGA
rnacentral:rRNA from 1 species